UACGGAGGGUGCAAACGUUGCUCGGAAUUAUUGGGCGUAAAGCGCACGUAGGCGGACUGUUAAGUCGGACGUGAAAUCCCUCAGCUUAACUGAGGAAGUGCAUUCGAAACUGGCAGUCUUGAGUAUGGAAGAGGGUCGCGGAAUUCCCGGUGUAGAGGUGAAAUUCGUAGAUAUCGGGAGGAACACCAGUGGCGAAGGCGGCGACCUGGGCCAAUACUGACGCUGAGGUGCGAAAGCGUGGGGAGCAAACAGG
rnacentral:rRNA from 1 species